rnacentral:rRNA from 1 species
GACGAACGCUGGCGGCGUGCUUAACACAUGCAAGUCGAACGCUGAAGCUCAGCUUGCUGGGUGGAUGAGUGGCGAACGGGUGAGUAACACGUGAGUAACCUGCCCCCUUCUUUGGGAUAACGCCCGGAAACGGGUGCUAAUACUGGAUAUUCACUGAUCUUCGCAUGGGGGUUGGUGGAAAGGUUUGUUCUGGUGGGGGAUGGGCUCGCGGCCUAUCAGCUUGUUGGUGGGGUGAUGGCCUACCAAGGCUUUGACGGGUAGCCGGCCUGAGAGGGUGACCGGUCACAUUGGGACUGAGAUACGGCCCAGACUCCUACGGGAGGCAGCAGUGGGGAAUAUUGCACAAUGGGCGCAAGCCUGAUGCAGCGACGCCGCGUGAGGGAUGGAGGCCUUCGGGUUGUAAACCUCUUUCGCUCAUGGUCAAGCCGCAACAGUGGUUGUGGUGAGGGUAGUGGGUAAAGAAGCGCCGGCUAACUACGUGCCAGCAGCCGCGGUAAUACGUAGGGCGCGAGCGUUGUCCGGAAUUAUUGGGCGUAAAGGGCUUGUAGGCGGUUGGUCGCGUCUGCCGUGAAAUCCUCUGGCUUAACUGGGGGCGUGCGGUGGGUACGGGCUGACUUGAGUGCGGUAGGGGAGACUGGAACUUCUGGUGUAGCGGUGGAAUGCGCAGAUAUCAGGAAGAACACCGGUGGCGAAGGCGGGUCUCUGGGCCGUUACUGACGCUGAGGAGCGAAAGCGUGGGGAACGAACAG